CCUCUGUGAUGAUACGAUGACGAGUCAGAAGGGGGCGCUCUGCCUAUGCCUGUCCCGCUCUGAGCUACGUUCUGUGGCUCAGCGAGGGCUCCAGGCUGGUCAGGGCCUCCCGUCCUCUGAAGACCUCUGAGGCAUUUGUCUGAGAGGC
ensembl:snoRNA SNORD15 Small nucleolar RNA SNORD15